GACGAACGCUGGCGGCGUGCUUAACACAUGCAAGUCGAACGGAAAGGCCCUGCUUGCAGGGUGCUCGAGUGGUGAACGGGUGAGUAACACGUGGGUGAUCUGCCCCUUACUUUGGGAUAAGCCUGGGAAACUGGGUCUAAUACUGGAUAGGACCAUGCUGUAGGUGGUGUGGUGGAAAGAUUAGUUUCGGUAAGGGAUGAGCUCGCGGCCUAUCAGCUUGUUGGUGGGGUAAUGGCCUACCAAGGCGUCGACGGGUAGCCGGCCUGAGAGGGUGGACGGCCACAUUGGGACUGAGAUGCGGCCCAGACUCCUACGGGAGGCAGCAGUGGGGAAUAUUGCACAAUGGGCGCAAGCCUGAUGCAGCGACGCCGCGUGGGGGAUGACGGCCUUCGGGUUGUAAACUCCUUUCAGCCAUGACGAAGCCCUUGUGGUGACGGUAGUGGUAGAAGAAGCACCGGCUAACUACGUG
rnacentral:rRNA from 1 species